UACCAAAGGAUAAUAGUAUUCCACUGGUCUUAGGC
rnacentral:tRNA from 2 species